rnacentral:rRNA from 1 species
CUUGAGACCGGCGCACGGGUGCGUCACGCGUAUGCAAUCUGCCUUCCACAGAGGGAUAGCCCAGAGAAAUUUGGAUUAAUACCUCAUAGCAUCAUGACCCGGCAUCGGGAUAUGAUUAAAGUCACAACGGUGGAAGAUGAGCAUGCGUCCCAUUAGCUAGUUGGUAAGGUAACGGCUUACCAAGGCUACGAUGGGUAGGGGUCCUGAGAGGGAGAUCCCCCACACUGGUACUGAGACACGGACCAGACUCCUACGGGAGGCAGCAGUGAGGAAUAUUGGUCAAUGGGCGCAAGCCUGAACCAGCCAUGCCGCGUGCAGGAUGACGGUCCUAUGGAUUGUAAACUGCUUUUGUACGGGAAGAAACCCUCCUACGUGUAGGAGCUUGACGGUACCGUAAGAAUAAAGAUCGGCUAACUCCGUGCCAGCAGCCGCGGUAAUACGGAGGAUCCAAGCGUUAUCCCGGAAUCAUUGGGUUUAAAGGGUCUGUAGGCGGUCUUGUAAGUCAGUGGUGAAAAGCCCAUCGCUCAACGGUGGAACGGGCCAUUGAUACUGCUGGACUUGAAUUAUUGGGAAAGCAACUAGAAUAUGUAGUGUACCG